GUGGAGCAUCCGUUCUGUUAACAAUGCCUUAAAACUUUGUUCAAUUACUAACCACAGACUUUUUUUUCAAACUGAUAAGUGGAUUUGAUUACUUUACAUACAAAUGUGAUAGUGCGCAUUAAAAUUUGUAUUGGAUCAGUAAUAUUUUACAUUAUUUACUUGAAUUUUAAUUUAAAUACUUAAUCUGUGUUUAGAUUACUGAAAACAAAGAAUAAUAAAAAUCGCCAAUGUUUUCGCUGAUCUGCCUACUUUUUUAGCUUGAGUUUAUUGCUGAAAUUAAAGAAGGAAAGUCAUUUGCUCAUUCACUCACCCCCAAUAUAAUCGUUUGCUGAGACUCGUGACGUUGCCAAGCAUAUGGUUAUAACGAGAAGCCAAAUAAAUCUAUAAAAAUAAAUAAAAUAAUUUAUCGUUACAAUGGUUGUUUUUGAUUUUUUUUUUAAUAAUAUUUUGCCAUAGUUCAAUAGAAAGUAAAAAGAAGCCAAGAGUGAAUUUUUUUUUUAAAUAUUUUUUUUUAUAAUAAUUAUUACAAUAAUAAUUUUAAUAUAAGUUAAAUAUUGAUGACUAAACAUAAAGAAUUAAAUUUUGAGAAAUUCAAAAAUAACAAAAACUACUGGAGUAGCUUCUUAUCUAAGGAGUAGUUUUGAGAAAUACUAAAAAACCCAGUUUUGUUUAAUUUGUGUUAUAUAUGCAUGUGCAAAGCAAAUUGUUAUAUUCUUCUUUUAAAAUAUAGAAAAACAAAAAACAGAAAAACCGACUUCCAUGGACCAAAACUGGGUUUUAUGGUUUUAUAAUAGUUUCUAUGGUUUGAACUGAACGAAAUUUAAAUGGGACCACACUGCAGCCACCAGCUUUCUAAUAGAAAAAGAAUUAUCAAAAUUUUAAUUUACUCAGCCCAAACAUACAAAAAAAAAAAUACAGACGAAUUGAAUACCUCCUCUUUUUUGGAAGUCGGUAAAAAAUAGAAACGAGGAGUUGUUCUUUCUUGCAAAGCUAAACGAUAGGCUCAACUUUUAUUUUCAGAUUUGGAACGAUUUGUCAUUAUUUUGAACAUGAAAAUACCACGAAAAUACAAUUUUGUUUAGUUUUGCAAAACCUCGUAGUAUUUUGUUGAGUUUUUUUUUAAGCAAAAACCAUUAGCUUUUAUAAUGUUUUUAUUUUGUCAUCUUGUGCACCUGGCAAUGCCAAAAAUUUUGAUACCAAUAUCUAAUUUUUGCAUUUUUGGCGUUUGUUGAGUUUUGAAAUAAAACGCUCCUCAAUUCAAGAACGACUGGAACAAUAUUUAGCGUGAACAGAACAAGUAUUAAAACAACAACAGCAAAAUGCCCAGCAAAAAAAUAAUAAAAAAAAGAUUCGGGAACGCUUGGAAACGUAAAAUUUAAAUUCGUUUACAAUUCCAUAUAUGAGAUACCAAAAAUCCAAACACGGAUAAAAAUGAAGAUAGUAUGCUAAUUUUGAUUAUAUCAGUAGAUGGUGUUGUGUGCAUUAAUUUGCUAAACGACUUAUUCAGCGUAAAAAUUGCAAUUACUGCCAAUAAAUGGCCGUAUUCAUCUGUUCAUGUCGACGAAUCGGAAGGAUAGUUAUGGUUUCAACAGAUUUUUCGCAAUUUUUUCCCAACAAAGAAAUAGUUUAUCAACAAAUAUUACCAAUAACCAUUGCCAGUCAAAGAAAAGUGAAAAAUGUUUGGGGUUUAAGAAUCAAAUUCAAAAUUAGCUAAGAGAUUGUUAACUAUUCCAGUACAUAUUUUUAAGAUUCAGAGUUUUUAGUAAUUCAUACGUGUUAUUACAUUUUUAAAAAUAAUAAAUUUCAAGAAAACAAGGGCAUACUUUCGCGCCAAGAGGUGGUUUCCGUUUUUUUUUUUUGCAGAAACAUAAAAUACAUCGAACGGAGGUGCCAAAGUGCUACUAGUAGUUUACUAGCGACUUUCAAAGGAACGCACUUGCAACGAAAUCAAUGCAAUUCCCAUCUAGUCGGGCAGAAGAGCAUUAGUAGCUAUAUUAGUGCGUCCAUCUGUACAUCGAGCUAGGGCCUAAACGGAUGGAUGGAUUUACUUGAAACUUGGUACAGAUGAUUUUUGGGUAAUUUCCUAGGUCCUAGGUUUUUUUUUAUAUUUUUAAUAUCUCCACUUUAACGCAUAUCUCCCAUAAACCGUUUUCGGGGUAUUGCAAUUUUCUCGAAAAUGGCUCUAACGAUUUUGAUUAAAUUUAGUGUACGUAAUAGUCUUAUUGAUUCUAACAAAACUGCGUUUUUAGUUUUUCUCAAAAUUAAAUUCUUUAACUCUCGAUUUUUUAAAUAUUUUUUUCUCGGGACUUAGCAAAAUGUCGAAUUACCAAUAGAUAUUUAAGAUAAAGAUACUUUGAACUACAAGAGCAAGUUCGUGCGACCCAGUCGUGCAUUUUAUUUUUUUUUUUGCAUUUUGCGUUUGCUUUUUUUAAAUAAAAUUAUCACUAAAAAGGUCUCGACGAGUUUAUUCUUUUUCGAAUGGGCGUAAGUAUCUGGUGUUAUACGGUGUUUUGAAUUAAAGAUGCAUGUUUAAUAAGUGCAUGGCAGAUUCUCUUAUAAGAAAAACGAUAAUCCAAAUACAGUACUGGACAAAAUCAAGUAACCACUCUUCGAAUUUGUACAUUUAUGCUAUUCUCGCUCGCCAAGUCAUCAAUAAACUAUUCUUUAGUAUUGAGAGAAAGAAAGAAUGUAUGACUCCUAUAGAAAUAAUGUAAAAAAUUCUUGAAAUGAGAAAGAAUAUAAUUUAAGUUCUUAAUGGAGUCUUUUAGACUGGACAAAAGAGUACGCACUAAAUUUGAAUCGAAAAGAUUCAACUCUCAUUCAACGGAGCUGAGUAGCUAGCCAUAACCUCAAUUAAUGUCUCAGACGGUUUUUUUUCAGUUAUCAUUUUUUACCGAAAGACUACAUAUAUUCCGAUAAAACACGCAGUGACAAAAAUUUCAUUUUAAGUGAAAAAAACCGAGCUUAAAGAUAAAAUGUAUGGUUUAUCGAACAGUAAAAUCACAAAAAAGUAUAAAUAGGUAAGUCAAACUGCAUUAAAAUAAAUUAAUACAAAAUUGAAUAUAAUUGGUUAAGAGGUUGGUCGUGGGAAAAAAACAAAAAACAAAUCCAUUUAAUGAUCAUCGAAUUAUUAAAGAUGUAAAGAAAAAGUCAAUGAUUACUAGUCUCAAAGCAGUAGAAAUUACAAGAUUUAAAAUUUCUAAGAAAAUUAUCUGUAAAAGACUUGAAGAAGCAUGCUAAGAAAGCAAUUUCAAACAGCGACGCGUUUUGGUUUGAGAAUCAAAUAAAAUUAAACAUUUCGAAUUUGCAAAAUAUAUGUACGUCAAUUACUCAUUCUCGUUUUGAAAAACAAGUUAUUCUGAGCCACCAGAUAAAUUUAGACGUUUCCUUCGCAAUUGGCUUAUCGGCUUUUUUCUUAUUGAUUUUAAAGUCAGCACCCGACGAAAUUGAAAUCGGACAUACAUACAUACUUCCAAAUACAAAAUCAUCAAAUUAACAAAAUCGGUUCACCAAGUCCAAAGU